rnacentral:rRNA from 1 species
CCUACGGGAGGCAGCAGUAGGGAAUGUUGCGCAAUGGGCGAAAGCCUGACGCAGCAACGCCGCGUGAAUGAUUAAGGCCUUCGGGGUGUAAAGAUCUGUCAGUGGGGACGAAAAUUGACGGUACCCACAGAGGAAGCACCGGCUAACUCCGUGCCAGCAGCCGCGGUAAUACGGAGGGGGCCAGCGUUGUCCGGAAUCAUUGGGCGUAAAGAGUUCGUAGGUGGCGUAUGAAGUCUGGUGGUAAAUGCAGGAGCUCAACUUAUGUUCGGCACUGGAUACUGGUAGGCUUGAAUGCGGUAGAGGUAAAGGGAAUUCCUGGUGUAGCGGUGAAAUGCGUAGAUAUCAGGAGGAACACCGGUGGCGUAGGCGCUUUACUGGGCCGUAAUUGACGCUGAGGAACGAAAGCCUGGGUAGCAAAUAGGAUUAGAUACCCUUGUAGUC